UACGUAGGGGGCAAGCGUUGUCCGGAUUUAUUGGGCGUAAAGAGCGUGUAGGCGGCUUUACAGGUCCGUUGUGAAAACUCGAGGCUCAACCUCGAGACGCCGGUGGAAACCGUAAAGCUAGAGUCCGGAAGAGGAGAGUGGAAUUCCUGGUGUAGCGGUGAAAUGCGCAGAUAUCAGGAGGAACACCGGUGGCGAAGGCGGGUCUCUGGGCCGUAACUGACGCUGAGGAGCGAAAGCGUGGGGAGCGAACAGG
rnacentral:rRNA from 1 species